AGUGAACGCUGGCGGUAGGCCUAACACAUGCAAGUCGAACGGCAGCACAGUAAGAUCUUGCUCUUACGGGUGGCGAGUGGCGGACGGGUGAGGAAUACAUCGGAAUCUACUUUUUCGUGUGGGAUAACGUAGGGAAACUUACGCUAAUACCGCAUACGACCUACGGGUGAAAGCAGGGGAUCUUCGGACCUUGCGCGAAUGAAUGAGCCGAUGCCGGAUUAGGUGGUUGGCGGGGUAAAGGCCCACCAAGGCGACGAUCCGUAGCUGGUGUGGGCGGAGGAUAGCCGGCCUUAGAGAGGGUACGACGUCCAGAGGACUACGGGAGGGAGCAGACGGGAAUAGUGGGCAAUAGGCGGGAGCCUGGCACAGCCAUAGCGCGUGGGUGAAGAAGGCCUUCGGGUGGGAAAGCCCUUUUGUUGGGAAAGAACAGCAGCAGGUUAAUACCCAGCUGUUCUGACGGUACCCAAAGAAUAAGCACCGGCUAACUUCGUG
rnacentral:rRNA from 1 species